rfam:Trichomonas vaginalis G3, whole genome shotgun sequence.
GGCACUUUGGCCGAGUGGUUAAGGCGCCGGACUACUAAUCCCGUGGGCUUGCCCGCCUGGGUUCGAAUCCCAGAGGUGUCG